rnacentral:piRNA from 1 species
UACAAACUUAGUUAAGACGAAAUUGGUAUC